UGUAAAUGCUUUUACUGUAUUUCCUGGUGAAGUUCCCUUGUGGGAGAUUCACAGGGUGUACAUAGUGCCUGACAAGCUGCAGUGGGACCUACAGAGACAUUUCACAGCAACAGAAGGCCCCAUUUUCUGGAGGGCAGAUGCCACCAUCUGCUAUGGAGAGGCCCACAGUUUGGAUGUGACCCCCCCAACCCCAGCAAGCUGUCAGCGUUGCCCUCACCUGAGCAAACUUUGGGCAUUCUUACCAAGGAGAAAGGUUGGUCAAGAGACAGUCAGUCUGUGAUAGAUCACUAAGUGCCACCCUGAAAAAUACGCCAUCUAAGAAACUUUUCUAGCUAUGUUAGGAAGACAGACUCCUACUCAUGUUUUCCAUCUUUAUUUUUCUGUUCGUUUCUGUUCUCUUCCAGCUGAGGCAAGAAGUUUCAAAAUUUUAGAAUAUCACCAUAUGCACAUCUGUUUGCAAAAAUCUCAGUCCCAAAGCUGCUUCCUGCAUGAAAAUGUUGCUAUGUUCCUUGUGAGCUGCUUCCACUUUUGCAUAUAAAUAGUAGGAAAGGCUGUAGACUUCACAACUUUGGAAAAAUGAAUUUUAUGCAGUGGGAAAUACGCAGGAUCAAGACUACAUGCCUCUAUCUUAUUUAGUUGAAGAUCUAACCCAGAGAUGCCACCCUGAGCCUAGAAGAUAAAACUGUACUUUGGUAUAUUGUGCAGUCAUGUACAGACAUUUUUAAUGUAAAAAGAAAAGGUGACAUUAUUUAUUAUUAUUUUUUAUCAGGAAUGCGUGGGUUUUGUUCAUUACAAGCUUCUAGACCUGGGAGCUUACCAUUAUUUAGUAAUGUUUCUGUUGCUAUGUGACAGGUAUUUACUGUAAACAAACAAACAAAUCCUGCCUUUAACAUAAAAUGUUGCUCAAUAGGAAAAAGAUUGUGCAUGAGAACAACUGGCUGCUCCGCCAUGGUGUCAGACUUCUUCAAAAUACUUCUUCCACACUAAACCGUCACCAAUAGUUUCGCAUCAUUUUCCUUUGGGAUUCAAGAAGAACAGUGGGCAGAAAACCCCUGGUUAGAGGAAGGAGUUAGUAGAAAAGAGAUGGUGAGAGCCAGUAGGUGCCACUUCCAGGGUCGCUGUUAGGAACAGUUCUGCAGUGACCCGUUUUCACAGGGCUGUGUUUCCAAAAGAACUGUCUCAGUUCAACCCUAUUGUUAACAUCAAAACACCGGUGAGUGAAUAAGUAGGGCAUUGUUGAAAGUUUUGGAAAAAAUGUGUCCAAGGCAGCUUCAGCCCUAUGGUCCAUGCCCUUGGUGUAACUGUUCACACAAGCUCUGCCUGGAUUUGGGUAUGCAGCACUGCAGAACAGGUUGUCUUGGCUUCACCCCAAAUGCAAAUUUCUUAAAGAAAUCCUAGAGCAGUUUUUCUUUGUCCCCAUUAAAAGGCAUCAAAUUAUUGGUGGGAGGUUUCUCUGAGCUAUAUGGAAUCAGCUGCAUGGGGAUGCAAUAGCAAUGGUGGGCUUUCUUUCUGUUGUUGUCCCUGAAGUGUUGUUCUCUCCUAUAUUUUAGUGUGCUUUAGUAAUAUAUUCUCCUUAAUUUAAAAUUAACUUCUCAACACUAAGUUUUAUUCACGGGCAAUGUUUAGAAGGCUCUGUCAAUGAGAGCAGUAGCUCACCAGCCAAAAUGGUCAACAGCUCUAACUUGAAAUAAAUA